rnacentral:rRNA from 1 species
GACGAACGCUGGCGGCGUGCCUAAUACAUGCAAGUCGAACGCAGUGGGGACGGGUGGGUAACACGUGGGAAACCUCACAUCAGAGGGGAUAAAAGUUGGAAACAGGUGCUAAACCGCUACUGAAGGAUGGACCCGCGGUGCAUUAGCUAGUUGGUGAGGUAACGGCUCACCAAGGCCACGAUGCAUAGCCGACCUGCGAGGGUGAUCGGCCACACUGGGACUUAGACAACGCCCAGACUCCUACGGUAGGCAGCAGUAGGGAAUCUUCGGCAAUUGACGAAAGUCUGACCGAGCAACGCCGCGUGAGUGAAGAAGGUUAUCGGAUCGUAAAACUCUGUUGUUAGAGAAGCGGCAUCUAACCAGAAAGCCACGGCUAACUACGUGCCAGCAGCCGCGAUAAUUC